rnacentral:rRNA from 1 species
GUACACGCUGUGACUAGCAUAUCAAUAAGCGGAGGAAAAGAAACUAACAAGGAUUCCCUUAGUAACGGCGAGUGAAGCGGGAAGAGCUCAAAUUUGAAAUCUUCAAGGUUUUACCUUGACGAAUUGUAGUUUAAAGAAGUGUUUUCUGCUGAAGUUUUGGUAAAAGUUCUUUGGAAUAGGACAUCAUAGAGGGUGAGAAUCCCGUAUUUGACCAUUAUUUUCAGCUUCGUGAUACACUUUCAAAGAGUCGGAUUGUUUGGGAAUGCAGUCCAAAAUGGGUGGUAAAUUUCAUUCUAAAGCUAAAUAUUGGCGAGAGACCGAUAGCGAACAAGUACCGUGAGGGAAAGAUGAAAAGAACUUUGAAAAGAGAGUUAAAUAGUACGUGAAAUUGUCAAAAGGGAAGCGUUUGACACCAGUGUUGUUUUUCUGAAAAUCAACCUCUGUUAGCUUUAUGCAUGUUUGUUUAGACCUAAUCAGCUAUCUUGCAUGUUCUAUUGUUUGCAGUGGUGCACUUUUCAGUUUACAGGUCAACAUCAGUUUUUUUUACCGUAAAAAAGUUAAAGAAAGGUAGCUCAUGGCUCCGGUCGUGAGUGUUAUAGUCUUUUUCCUAUGCGGUAGGAGAGACUGAGGUCUGCAGUGUAGGCUAUUUGGCUAGAUACUCAGGUGCUAUGUGAUACCAUUUCAUAAACAACUUGUUGAUUAUGUUUUAUCUAUUGCAUACUCGCUUGUACUAUCAUACCUACGCUUAGGAUGUUGACGCAUGAGAUAUACGC